UGGGGAAUUUUGGACAAUGGGCGAAAGCCUGAUCCAGCAAUGCCGCGUGUGUGAAGAAGGCCUUCGGGUUGUAAAGCACUUUUGUCCGGAAAGAAAUCCUUGGCUCUAAUACAGUCGGGGGAUGACGGUACCGGAAGAAUAAGCACCGGCUAACUACGUGCCAGCAGCCGCGGUAAUACGUAGGGUGCAAGCGUUAAUCGGAAUUACUGGGCGUAAAGCGUGCGCAGGCGGUUUGCUAAGACCGAUGUGAAAUCCCCGGGCUCAACCUGGGAACUGCAUUGGUGACUGGCAGGCUAGAGUAUGGCAGAGGGGGGUAGGAAUUCCACGUGUAGCAGUGAAAUGCGUAGAGAUGUGGAGGAAUACCGAUGGCGAAGGCAGCCCCCUGGGCCAAUACUGACGCUCAUGCACGAAAGCGUGGGGAGCAAACAGGAUUAGAUACCCUGGUAGUCCACGCCCUAAACGAUGUCAACUA
rnacentral:rRNA from 1 species